ACCUUCCUUGUCUCGGGGUGGUCUGGGCUGUUCAAUGAACGUCUAGUGAGAACAUCCCUGCUAACACCUGACCAACACAUUCAGCAUCACCUGAGCGAUCUGUUCAGGCUAUGGUGCAAUUUUUGGAACC
ensembl:snRNA U4atac minor spliceosomal RNA